rnacentral:lncRNA from 1 species
AGUACCACUGGGUACCAAUGAGUGUCAGUGGGUACCAAUGUGAACCAGAGGAUACCAGUGAGUACCGAUGAGUACCAGUGGGCACCAGUAGGUUUUCUAUGGGGGUAGUGAGUACCAUUGAGUACCACUGAGUACCAGCAGGUACCUCUGGGGGUAGUGAGUACCAGUGAGUACCACUGAGUACCAGCAGGUACCAGUAGUGGGGAUAGUGAGUGCCGAUGAGUACCACUGGGUACCAAUGAGUGUCAGUGGGUACCAAUGUGAACCAGAGGAUACCAGUGAGUACCGAUGAGUACCAGUGGGCACCAGUAGGUUUCCUAUGGGGGUAGUGAGUACCAGUGAGUACCACUGAGUACCAGCAGGUACCAGU